UCGAGUGACCAGAGACACUGAAGUGUUCUCCGACUGGUUUAUGAAUGUUGUUGUUCUUGACAUCUGAUUUGUGUCCAUUUAUUCUUUUACGUAGAGACUGUCCAGUUUGACUGAAUGGGCCUUAACAGAUGAUGUCUCCUGUUGAUAGCUUUUAAGAAUGAGAUACCUCAAGAUUCAGGAGUUUCUCAUCCAGAAUGGAACCUUCUUCAGGAGACUGCAUCAUAUGAAUUGAACUUGCAGUGAGCAGUUAUUUAUAAACUGAUUGACAGCAAAUUGGAGAGGUCAAAGGCUCUGAAAGAUGGGAGAGCAUCCACCAGUGACAAAUGUCUGUUCAUUGCAGCCGACACCCUGUCCUGCACCGUCGAAUGCCAAGUUGUUAUGCCUUGUAAGGCAAAUAUUGAUUGCCUUGGGUUUCACUCUGAUUAUCAUACAUGAAUAAUGGAGCCCCCACCUUUAGGAAUCAUUGUUCUAGCCCUGUGAUGAGUGUGUUACAGGUGCCAGCUAUCAACGGCAGUUAAUUUUGUUGACGGCUUCAAUUGCUGUUGCUGGAAGCUGGGUCCCUACCAGAAGAAAAAUGCUCAAAUGUCAAUAAUGAGCAUAGGUGUGUGGAGUAACUUUCAACCUGAGGGCAUCCAAAGUGCCUUACAACUUUCACUGAUGGAUUUUCAGGUUGUGCAUUUGUGUUGCUAGGGUGAGAAGCAGAUAGACGAGACUCCCUUUGCUCACCACUUAGCAGACGUUCCCCUGUCUAAGUCCAGCACAUCCCUUCGAUCCCUCUUCCACCCUGCCCUCCUUAUCCCAUUGAUCACUUUUCUCUGCAGUUUUCAGAGUAACAGCCGUGUUAGUCUGUAUUUGCAAAAAGAAAAGGAGUACUUGUGGCACCUUAGAGACUAACCAAUUUAUUUGAGCAUGAGCUUUCGUGAGCUACAGCUCACUUCAUCGGAUGCAUGCCGUGGAAACUGCAGCAGACUUUAUUUAUACACAGAGAAUAUGAAAAAAUACCUCCUCCCACCCCACUGUCCUGCUGGUAAUAGCUUAUCUAAAGUGAUCAGCAGGUGGGCCAUUUCCAGCACAAAUCCAGGUUUUCUCACCCUCCACCCCCCCACACAAAUUCACUCUCCUGCUGGUGAUAGCCCAUCCAAAGUGACAACUCUUUACACAAUGUGCAUGAUAAUAAAGUUGGGCCAUUUCCUGCACAAAUCCAGGUUCUCUCACAUCCCCCCCCACCCCCAUACACACACAAACUCACUCUCCUGCUGGUAAUAGCUCAUCCAAACUGACCACUCUCCAAGUUUAAAUCCAAGUUAAACCAGAACAUCUGGGGCAGGGGGGUAGGAAAAAACAAGAGGAAAUAGGCUACCUUGCAUAAUGACUUAGCCACUCCCAGUUUCUAUUUAAGCCUAAAUUAAUAGUAUCCAAUUUGCAAAUGAAUUCCAAUUCAGCAGUUUCUCGCUGGAGUCUGGAUUUGAAGUUUUUUUGUUUUAAGAUAGCGACCUUCAUGUCUGUGAUUGCGUGACCAGAGAGAUUGAAGUGUUCUCCGACUGGUUUAUGAAUGUUAUAAUUCUUGACAUCUGAUUUGUGUCCAUUUAUUCUUUUACGUAGAGACUGUCCAGUUUGACCAAUGUACAUGGCAGAGGGGCAUUGCUGGCACAUGAUGGCAUAUAUCACAUUGGUGGAUGUGCAGGUAUACGAGCCUCUGAUAGUGUCAGUGAGCAGUGUCACUGCUCCUCCACUUUCCCCGGGUGCUCAGAUUCUUCCGUUUUCCACACCGUUGAAAUUCAAGGUGGCCAAGGCCUGGGCCUAGCGAAACUUUGUGGUUCUGGGCUUGUUCCUUCCUUGCACUGUAAACGACUGUCUUCAGUUCAGUUUGUUAGCCUUUCAGAUGAGUGGGUUAGGGACGCCAGGCCCCCAAACAGAACUGGCAGAGGCUGAAUUCAGUCUUAUAAGGGCUGACUCUCUUCUUUGCCUAAACUGCAAGAAAACCAGACACACGUGGACAAAUUCUCAGUUUGCCGUUGGCCAUGAAUACAACUGCUGAACCAGUCUCUCCCCUGGGUCCAACCCCUUUGCAUUGCCUGAGGGGUGGCUCUACUUUCCCAGCUGAGAAUCCCCUUGGUGUAGGGGUAGCAAUCAGAGCUGGCGUCUAAGAAUUGUUCCUCCCUAGGGGGCUUGAUCAUAUGUUGGGGGAGGUAGAGGUAGGAGAUGAUUCAAUGCUGUGAAUUCUCAGCUCAUGUAUGGUCCCUGAUUAUUAUGUUAUCGUGGUGCCCAGGAAUCAACCAAGAAUGGGCCCCAUUGUGAUAGGCAUCAUACAGACACAGAUAAGAAGCAUGGACUGUUUACUCAGGGACCACAGUCAACUAUCAUAAGUUAGAGCAGCCUUGGGGUUGUGUAAUUUACAUUAGAGUUGGAACACCUGAAGCCUGAGAAUCGGUGAACUGGAGCCAGCAGGAAGCCAGUUACAUCUCCCCUCCCCAUGCAGCUGGAGAGAAUCUGGCCCAUUGUGGAAAAUGAAUUUGCAGGUGCAAUUGCAAACAUGGCCUCCAGUGUCAGUCAAGUUUAAAAUAACGCUAUGCAGCCAUUGGGGUGUACUAUGGCAGGCCUGCUUGCUGGCUAACUGUUUUUAUGCUGCUCAUCCAGCCAGUGUAUAUGCAUCUGACAAGGGCAGCAUGUUUACAUGGCAGGUUGUCAUAAGUCAUAUGAGGUUUGCAGUUCUCCCCAGCAGAAAGAGGCUGUCCUAAAGUCUUUUACACCACUUAAAUCCUAGAAUGGGUCUACCCUGGAAAUCUGCCUCAGAACACCCACCCUGCGGGUCAUGGAAGGGUUCUCUGUGCCAGUCCCAAAUAGGCAAGUGUAUGGCUGGAGGGAGGGUUCAGGGUAAGACUAUGGGUCUGCAUUUACAUGGAGCAAGAGGACCGGAAACCCUACUCAGUAUUCCGACCUAUAGAUACUAGUAGCGUCCAGGAAAGGGUCUUGCUGCACCUCAUCUGGUGAAUUACAUCCACCCACAAUCCCUAUGGACUCCCAGCACAAAGUCGUAAGUAAUCAUGUGUGCUUGUGAAUUUCACCCACAAUCACAAUAGCAUCCGGGUAAUGGAGACGGGGGGGUGAGAGGGGCAGAGGUUAUAGCUGAAGCCAUGAAAGGGUUAACUGCAUAAUUCUAGGGCUGAUGAACUGAUGGUGGCCCAGCUUUCAUAAUAUUUAACCAAGUGCAUGAUGUUCAAGGAGCCUUAACUCUCUAUGGUCCCAGGACCAAUCCUGUCUUAAAUGAGCUCAGUAUAGCUGAGCACACAAGCAUCUAAUCUGGCCUUUGCACCUGGGAGCUGCAGCUCAGGUAGGUUCUGUUCUUUGCCUGAUGCUAAUAUGCACGUGGUCACAGAAUGUGCAUAUUCAUUAUUAAUAAGCAAGCAAUAGGUCCUUUGAAUUUAAAUAGUAUUGCAGGUGCAUACCCUCUAGUUGCUCAUUUACAUAAUCCAAAUAAUCUUUUAAGGUUAAAAUCUGAACCAUAACAACCUCCUGCAUAUCUACUUAUGUAGACUUAUUACAGGAAAGAAGAAAGUGUUUUAUCAUCAUCUGAGCCAUACUGAGCCAAUGAAGUUUGUAAAUAGCUGUACAGACUAAUUUGCUUGAACACCUACCUGCUGUUUAUAGCAUUUAAACGAGGUACAAAUUGUCUAGAAAUGUAGUGAUUCACAGUUAGAUUCGAAGUCACAACUUGCUGGGGGGGGGAGGGAAACAACCCAAAGUAUUAAAACCUUCCUCCAAACUUCUUUUCUAGAUUCCCUUUCCCAGAGCGAUAGCCAGAACCUGCCACUAGGUAUCUUACUACCAGCCUCACGACUGCCUUCUAUGUAUGCACGACAGCUAUAUUAUUCAUUUUAACGUGGCAAAGUCAAGCACUCAGAAGUUAGGAAAUGGCAGAAGUAAGGGGGUCUGUGGAACCUUAAAUCAGCCCCCUGGUAUGCGUGCAUUAAGAUGAUCCAUGCUUUCCUCUCUCAUGCUCUAGGAAUAACUCACUGCCACAGCAUCCCUUCCAUGGUGACUCAGAUGGCAGGAAAUAAAAUCCACACUCUUAAUUUAAUCAUUCUUUAGUCCAACGUACAACUAAACCGUUAGUCCUGAGCUGGUUGGCUCUGAGAGGGGUGUUUGUUGAAUGCCUGGUGCUAAACGUAUUUAACCUCCGAUGUGGACUUUACUGGAAGAACUGGCAGGAAAGGACCAUGGUGACAGUUGCCUUGUUUGUGGUGAACAGUAUCACCUUGGAGACUUGUGAGUAACUAAUGGAGGAAGUGGGGAGUUUCUGGAGCUGUUUGCAGAGACAGCCCUGGAAAGUCAUUUUGUGACAAAUUAUCACAUUCUAGGUUUAAAAAAAACAACUGUUUUACUUCUUCCUAACUUUAAAUCCGCCAUCCCCACUUCCCUUCCCUCCGCUGGCAACGCUGAAUCCCUGGCUGCCUCCCUGCUCUCACUGGAGAUUUUGUACAGAUGGGGCUUGGUGCUUGCAUCCAUACAGGCAGGGGGUCGGCACUAGAAGCAAAGCAUGACUCUCCGACUCUAUUUCUCCAAUAAGGGAAGGAUCUAUACCUCCUGUUGAAACUUGGACUGGGAACUUCUGAAUCUAUUUAAGCUGUGGACAGAUUCACUGGCUGGGGAGGGAAAACAAAGUCCCACUCACAUGCCUUGUGUUCAGGGCUCACUUUGUCAACAAGUAAGGCCCCAAAGCAAGAUCAAAUAAACUCUAACUAGGGGUACCUAACCACCCAAAGGCUUUCCAAGCUUUCUGCACCUGGAAAAGUAUGUAGUCUUACCUCCCCUUUCAGUAGCCCUUCUGGCUACUAUGGAGAGACCCUGUGAAAACACCCCUGAUCCUGGGGCUACGUUAUAAUGCUACAGCGGCCCAGCUGCAAUGAUUCAGCAUAGCCACUAACUACAGUGAGUUCCCUACAGGUUUACUACUGGUUCCCUAGGGUUCACUACAGAAGGGUUCCCCUAUUGCUGUAAUUAAUCCUGAGAGGUGGCAGCGAGGUGAACGGGAGAAUUUUUCCGUUGACCUAGCACUGCCUAUGGUGCGGGUUAGGUCGGCUUAACUAUGUUCGUCGGGGUGUGGAUUUUUCACACCCCGAGCAAUGUAGCUGGGUUAACCUAACUUUUCAGUGUAGAACAGCUCUGAGUCUCUCCUGGCUGCUUCUCCUGCCUCAAAGUCGGGAAGUCUUGUACCUGGUUUCCUGUAGGGCCCAUUCUUGUGCCCUACAGCUCCUAGUUUCUAGGGCCCAUGGGUCAUACCAGGCACACUGCAAUGCGCGCAUAUGCUCCAAGGCCCAGAGCCCAGUUACAGACCCAUCUGAUACUUUUCAUUUUACCUGCUGAACUGCAGCAGAAGGCAGGUCAGAGAUGGUGAUCACGGGAUGAAAGAAGCAGCAGAGAGAUGGGGAGAAGCUUUGACUAUAGUUAUGUCACGGGCAGGAAUAGCAAGAACUGUAAAGGCUACUGCACAUUCUCCAGCCUGUAAGCAGGACUAGCAGCAACUAAUCUGCUUGUCUCCUUCAAAACAACGAGAUUCCUCUCGUUCUAUGGCCAGCAGUAUCAGUUGCUUUCCCUUAUUACCCUGUCCAGUAUAUGGCAGGUCCUUGCACGUGCAUCCUAAGGUCAAUAGCACUGAUAGCUGGAGAACUGGGGAGGGCCCCACUACUGCGUCAUUGAUUCUGAGUCAUCCUCAGCCUCACUGCUGACUCGUACGCAGUGGUGGGGAGAACUGUUUCCUGACAUGAGCAUGGAGUGGCUAGAGCUGGGAUUGUUGAGUGGGAUCUUCACAAGGGGCUAAAGGGAGAUAGAUGCACAGCUCCCAUUGAAUGGCAUUGGGCUCCUAACUCCCAUAGGCACUUUUGAACACCCCCAUUGUGAGCAGAUGAACAGAUAUUUAAUGAGGUAUGAAGGGAGUCAAGUGGUGACUCAGCACCAGGGGUGGAUACGUUAGACAUUCACAGUGUGGGCAGAAUAGAUGGGUUAGAGAUCACAGAGGACUCCCCUCAUCCUUAUGUGCCUUGGAUACGACAUCUGUGGGAAAACGGGCACAGGGGAAUGGUCAUGUUUCCUGCUAGUGAGGGUGUGGCCAGUGCAUCUGCGUGCUGCGUAGAUCCUCCCCAUGACCAAAACCCCCAUGUAGGAGCCAGAUGUGGGGCCAGAGCCAGGAGGUCAAACAUGGCAAGGUCCACCAUCUGCUACUUGCCCUCCUCACAACCAACAGCACUCUGAGACCCUCUGAUGGAAGUUGCUACAUUGCUCCUAUUUGUACUGUAGUAGCAUCUAGAAGCCCCCUUCAGGGAUCAGAUCCCAUUGUGCUAGGCACUGUACGUAUAUAAUAAUAAUAAUUAAUAAAACAAUCCCAGUUCCAAAGAGCUUACAGUCUAAGCUUACAGGCUUAGAAAUGCCAAGUAUAAUUGUCUCUCUUCUUUUAUCAGAGCUGCCAGUUAUAAAUCACCAGCAUCCAGAUGUGGAUAGGAGCUCAUCCUCCUGGAAACAGCAGCUGUAGUCAGAGUCCUUACCAAAGCAGCGGUGUUCUGAUCAUCCUCCAGGGCCUUUUACAGAACUCGGAGGCUAUUAAAAGGCAACAUCAAACAGCAUUUCUUCAAUUUAGAUUUCAAGCCAGAAACUGGUCUAUGGGAGCUGCUCAGCCGGGAGUUGCUUAUGCCUUACAUAAAGUGUUCAUUAGGGAAGCCAUUGGUCUAACAGCAUCUUUCAGAUAUUUCCUGUGGCUCCAAAGGGUGAAGAGGGUAGAAAAAUAAGAGGAACGCUCUUGUUCGUGGUAUUUGAUUUGUUGUAUUUCAGUGUACGGUAACUGAGAGACAUCUCAGUCAAGUUCAAAUCUUUCAUUGGGUUUAAACAAGUCCAGUUUCAAUAUUUCUUUUUCUCUUUUGGAAGAGCAAUGUGAUUCUGUUUUAACAACAUUUUGUCACCAGAUCCCAUGUUUGUAUUUUAGUAUUAAACUUACUGGAUUUAAUAAAACAAAAAACAGCCGAUGAGAUCGAUGCAUAUCUACCUGUUGCUGGCUUUCAAAUGACACCAUUUGCAUAAAAAUAGAUGGAGAAAUGGCAGAGCCUUUCUCUGGAAAUUCAUGAACUAAUUUACUCAGACAUACACUGAAAUGCUAUUUUAGAUAUAAGGAAUAAAAAAACAUACAAUAGACUUUGGAUUAUUCUUACAGCCCUUUCUGUUGGUAGCUCCUCUCUCUAGAGGCAGCAGAGGGAUGUGUCUUGUAAGAUUUUAAAGAGUCCACACCAAAGCAUUGCAUCUCUGCCUCCUUCAGGCUUUGGGCUGGGGUUUAAAAUCAAAACCCAAAUCUGGGUAUGGUCCCUUCUCGGUAGAAAGGGAGAAACUGAAACCUUUGAUCUGAAUUCUCUCCCCAGUGGGAUAUUCAAAUGGCAGACUUUGUAAGCGUUGGCCAAUCUCUGAUCUUCAAGGAAGUAAGAAGGGCAGCGGCUGCAAGGGGUGCAGAAAUGCACCCCCCUCCCAGUUGUUGUUGCCCAUUUUUCUACUAACACAAAAGUAUCGCCAGCAUUAAGAGCUGCAAGGCCCCAAGCUGCCAGAAGGGGAGAAUCAGGCAAUGAAUCAACUGGCCAGGAGGUGAUACCGGGGAGGAUCUGACAGCUAGUUGCCCACGGAACCUUCCACUCCUGUUGCCUCUAAAUGAGUGGGGAUCCUUCCCAGGUGGAUAUUUGCACUGCUUAAAGGCAGCCUGCCCCUCCUCCCCCUUAUACAUUCUCCAAAUGACUGAAGCUUCUAAAUCAAUUGCAGGGCAUAGACUGGCUUUUGCAGCAUU